AUCUGGUGUCCUCCAGCUGCUUUAGUACUACAGUUCAUCUCAUCCUCAUGGACUGCACCAGAUUUGUCAGUUCUUGCUGUGAGAUGUUACCCCACUCUUCCACCAACUUGCACUUGCAUUGCAGUUUAUUGCUCUGGACACAUCUGGAGUCCUCAUGCCUCCCUGCAGCAGGUCUAUGGCAUGUUCACGCAGUGGAAACGCGAUAAAUCCCUCCUGCAUGCAAACACAACUUCAGAGUUCACUGAGGACGGAACAUGGCAGAGUUGCUUUGGAGAGCCCGGCUUCACCUCAUUGAGAGAGUUAAUGAAGCUCUCCUUAAGGAUCUUAUUGACGGUCUCAGGGCUGCAAACCCGCCAGUUCUUACUGGCAGGGAAGCGAAUGGGAUUCUGCAGGGUCACAAAGUGACGGAGGACAUGACCGGACUACUAGUAGAUAUGGUGUGUAAAAAAGGUAACACUGCCAGCUCCAUUAUGUUGUCUAUUUUGGAACAAAAAGAUGUGAACCUUGCCAAAGACCUUGGCUUAAUCCUGGACCGGCCCUGUGAACACCAGACAUCACGUAUGGAAAUCAAUGGACCCAAUUUUCGUUAAAACUUUUUUUUAAAGAUCUGGAAAAACGUGUAGGAAAUUUGAUCAUUGUUUUUUACAGGUUUAAAAAAAGAAACGUGUCAGUAUGUUGUGUGUCAGAAAUCAAUAAAUAAACUCAAUUUCGACAAACUGA